UACGUAGGUGGCAAGCGUUUGUCCGGAUUUACUGGGCGUAAAGAGCGCGCAGGCGGUCGUUCAAGUCGCGUGUGAAAGCCCCCGGCUCAACUGGGGAGGGUCAUUCGAUACUGUUCGACUCGAAGGCAGGAGAGGGAAGUGGAAUUCCGGGUGUAGUGGUGAAAUGCGUAGAUAUCCGGAGGAACACCAGUGGCGAAGGCGACUUUCUGGCCUGUUCUUGACGCUGAGGCGCGAAAGCUAGGGGAGCAAACGGG
rnacentral:rRNA from 1 species